GGAAUCUUCGGCAAUGGGGGCAACGCUGACCGAGCAACGCCGCGUGAGUGAAGAAGGUUUUCGGAUCGUAAAGCUCUGUUGUAAGAGAAGAACGUGUGUGAGAGCAACUGUUCACGCAGUGACGGUAUCUAACCAGAAAGUCACGGCUAACUACGUGCCAGCAGCCGCGGUAAUACGUAGGUCCCGAGCGUUGUCCGGAUUUAUUGAGCGUAAAGCGAGCGCAGGCGGUUUAAUAAGUCUGAAGUUAAAGGCAGUGGCUUAACCAUUGUUCGCUUUGGAAACUGUUAGACUUGAGUGCAGAAGGGGAGAGUGGAAUUCCAUGUGUAGCGGUGAAAUGCGUAGAUAUAUGGAGGAACACCGGUGGCGAAAGCGGCUCUCUGGUCUGUAACUGACGCUGAGGCUCGAAAGCGUGGGGAGCAAACA
rnacentral:rRNA from 1 species